UGAAGAGAGUUGGUCAACUUUCA
rnacentral:siRNA from 1 species